rnacentral:rRNA from 1 species
GUCCACGCCGUAAACGAUGGUUACUAGCUGUUCGGACUUCGGUUUGAGUGGCUAAGCGAAAGUGAUAAGUAACCCACCUGGGGAGUACGUUCGCAAGAAUGAAACUCAAAGGAAUUGACGGGGGCCCGCACAAGCGGUGGAGCAUGUGGUUUAAUUCGAUGAUACGCGAGGAACCUUACCAGGGCUUAAAUGCAGUACGACAGGUCUAGAGAUAGACUUUUCUUCGGACGGAUUGCAAGGUGCUGCAUGGUU